rnacentral:rRNA from 1 species
CACGUAGGGGGCGAGCGUUGUCCGGAUUUAUUGGGCGUAAAGAGCUCGUAGGCGGCUCAGUUAGUCGGGUGUGAAACCCCCGGGCUCAACCCGGGGACGCCACCCGAUACUGCUGUGGCUAGAGUCCGGUAGGGGAGCGUGGAAUUCCUGGUGUAGCGGUGAAAUGCGCAGAUAUCGAGAGGAACACCUGCGGCGAAGGCGGGUAGCUGGGCCGACACUGACGCUGAGGUGCGAAAGCCAGGGGAGCGAACGGG